rnacentral:rRNA from 1 species
UUCCGGUUGAUCCUGCCGGAGGCCACCGCUAUUGGAAUCCGAUUAAGACAUGUGAGUCGAGAGUCUUCGGGACUCGGCAGACGGCUCAGUAACACGCGGAUAAUCUGCCCUUGGGUGGGGAAUAAUCUCGGGAAACUGAGCAUAAUACCCCAUAGGCCUGAGAUGCUGGAACGCCCUCAGGCUAAAAGCUACGGCGCCCAAGGAUGAGUCUGCGGCCUAUCAGCUUGUAGUUGGUGUAAAUGACCAACUAGGCGACGACGGGUACGGGCAUUGGGAGAUGUAGCCCGGAGAUGGACUCUGAGACACGAGUCCAGGCCCUACGGGGCGGAGCAGUCGCGAAAACUUCACAAUGUGGGAAACCGCGAUGAGGGGAUUCCAAGUGCUUGCGUUUUGCGUAAGCUGUUCUCCUGCCUAAAAAGCAGGGGGAGUAAGGGCUGGGUAAGACGGGUGCCAGCCGCCGCGGUAAUACCCGCAGCCCAAGUGGUGGUCGAUAUUAUUGAGCUUAAAGCGUCCGUAGCCUGUCUGGUAAAUUCUUGGGUAAAUCGUGCAGCUUAACUGUCCGAAUUCCGGGGAGACUGCCAGACUUGAGACCGGGAGAGGUUGGAGGUACUCCUGGGGUAGGGGUAAAAUCCCGUAAUCCUGAGAGGACCAUCAGUGGCGAAGGCGUCCAACUGGAACGGAUCCGACGGUCAGGGACGAAGCCCUGGGUCGCGAACUGGAUUACAUACCCAGGUAGUCCAGGGUGUAAACGCUGCACACUUGUUGUCGGACGUCCUACCACGGCGUCAGUGCCGGAGAGAGAUUGUUAAGUCUGCCGCUUGGCGAGUACGUCCGCCAGGAUGAAAUUAAAAGGAAUUGGCGGGAGAGCACCGCAACGGGAAGGAAGCGUGCGGUUCAGUUGUAAUCAACGCAGGU